rnacentral:rRNA from 1 species
AUUGAACGCUGGCGGCAGGCUUAACACAUGCAAGUCGAACGAUGAUUAUCUAGCUUGCUAGAUAUGAUUAGUGGCGGACGGGUGAGUAACAUUUAGGAAUCUGCCUAGUAGUGGGGGAUAGCUCGGGGAAACUCGAAUUAAUACCGCAUACGACCUACGGGUGAAAGGGGGCGCAAGCUCUUGCAAUUAGAUGAGCCUAAAUCAGAUUAGCUAGUUGGUGGGGUAAAGGCCCACCAAGGCGACGAUCUGUAACUGGUCUGAGAGGAUGAUCAGUCACACCGGAACUGAGACACGGUCCGGACUCCUACGGGAGGCAGCAGUGGGGAAUAUUGGACAAUGGGGGCAACCCUGAUCCAGCCAUGCCGCGUGUGUGAAGAAGGCCUUUUGGUUGUAAGGCACUUUAAGCAGGGAGGAGAGGCUAAUGGUUAAUACCCAUUAGAUUAGACGUUACCUGCAGAAUAAGCACCGGCUAACUCUGUGUCAGCAGCCGCGGUAAUACAGAGGGUGCGAGCGUUAAUCGGAAUUACUGGGCGUAAAGCGAGUGUAGGUGGCUCAUUAAGUCACAUGUGAAAUCCCCGGGCUUAACCUGGGAACUGCAUGUGAUACUGGUGGUGCUAGAAUAUGUGAGAGGGAAGUAGAAUUCCAGGUGUAGCGGUGAAAUGCGUAGAGAUCUGGAGGAAUACCGAUGGCGAAGGCAGCUUCCUGGUAUAAUAUUGACACUGAGAUUCGAAAGCGUGGGUAGCAAACAGGAUUAGAUACCCUGGUAGUCCACGCCGUAAACGAUGUCUACUAGCCGUUGGGGUCCUUGAGACUUUAGUGGCGCAGUUAACGCGAUAAGUAGACCGCCUGGGGAGUACGGCCGCAAGGUUAAAACUCAAAUGAAUUGACGGGGGCCCGCACAAGCGGUGGAGCAUGUGGUUUAAUUCGAUGCAACGCGAAGAACCUUACCUGGUCUUGACAUAGUGAGAAUCCUGUAGAGAUGCGGGAGUGCCUUCGGGAAUUCACAUACAGGUGCUGCAUGGCUGUCGUCAGCUCGUGUCGUGAGAUGCUGGGUUAAGUCCCGCAACGAGCGCAACCCUUUUCCUUAUUUGCCAGCGGGUUAAGCCGGGAACUUUAAGGAUACUGCCAGUGACAAACUGGAGGAAGGCGGGGACGACGUCAAGUCAUCAUGGCCCUUACGACCAGGGCUACACACGUGCUACAAUGGUAGGUACAGAGGGUUGCUACACAGCGAUGUGAUGCUAAUCUCAAAAAGCCUAUCGUAGUCCGGAUUGGAGUCUGCAACUCGACUCCAUGAAGUCGGAAUCGCUAGUAAUCGCAGAUCAGAAUGCUGCGGUGAAUACGUUCCCGGGCCU